rnacentral:rRNA from 1 species
UAAGGAGGUGGCAAGCGUUGUCCGGAAUUAUUGGGCGUAAAGCGCGCGCAGGCGGUUCCUUAAGUCUGAUGUGAAAGCCCACGGCUCAACCGUGGAGGGUCAUUGGAAACUGGGGAACUUGAGUGCAGAAGAGGAAAGCGGAAUUCCACGUGUAGCGGUGAAAUGCGUAGAGAUGUGGAGGAACACCAGUGGCGAAGGCGGCUUUCUGGUCUGUAACUGACGCUGAGGCGCGAAAGCGUGGGGAGCAAACAGGAGUAGAUAACCCCGUAGUCC